AACGUAGGACGCAAGCGUUGUCCGGAAUUAUUGGGCGUAAAGAGCUCGUAGGCGGUCUGUCGCGUCGGAUGUGAAAACUCGGGGCUCAACCCCGAGCCUGCAUUCGAUACGGGCAGACUAGAGUUCGGUAGGGGAGACUGGAAUUCCUGGUGUAGCGGUGAAAUGCGCAGAUAUCAGGAGGAACACCGGUGGCGAAGGCGGGUCUCUGGGCCGAUACUGACGCUGAGGAGCGAAAGCGUGGGGAGCGAACAGG
rnacentral:rRNA from 1 species